rnacentral:rRNA from 1 species
AUGACGCAGCCGCCGCGUCUCCUCCCCCUCGUUGAGCAAGCGACCAAGACGCUGCCGCCGCUGGGCAAGAAGACCAAGGGGCGACAGCGCAGGGAGAACCGCCGCGUGGAGAAGAAGGAGUCGCGGCAGGUGACCUUCUCCAAGCGGAAGUCCGGGCUGUGGAAGAAGGCCGCCGAGCUCGCCGUGCUCUGCCGCGCCAGCCUUGCCAUCGUCGUCUUCUCCGAGGCCGGCAAGGCGUUCGCCUUCGGCAGCCCCUCCACCGACGCCGUCCUGGGAUGCGCCGACGCCCUUGCUCCUGUUCCUGCUGCUGACGACGUGGAGUGGGAGGCCCUGGAGGCGCUGUGCCGGGAGACGGAGGCCACGGGCGUGGAGGUCGCGGCGGAGGCCGAGCGGAUGAGCGCCGUCGGCAAGAAGGUGGUGGAGGUGCAGACGCAGGCUGGGAAGCGUUUCUGGUGGGAGGCGGACGUGGAGGCGCUCGGGGAGGCGGAGCUGCCGGUCUUCGCCAGGGCGCUCCAGCGCCUCCGGGACAACGUGCGCCGCCACGCCGACAAGAUGCCCUCAGCUGCUCCACCGCCGCAGUAG